rnacentral:lncRNA from 1 species
AAGGAAGAUGCAGUUUGCUUCAGCAUCAAGGUGGGUGCGGUUGAGCUGUGGGGUCACCACGGAGCCGUGUGUCCUACAGGCCUGUGCUCUGCGCAGGUUAACUGCACGAGAGAGGAAGUCCUCUACGCUUGGUUAAUGGCAGACAGUGUGGGCAGGGGCCGCACGCCUUAAGAAUUCACCUCUGCUGAGUUGAUAUCCUGUCUUGUCUACUGUAUUCUUGUGCUUCACCUGUAUUCAAUAGCUCUGUACUGCCUCCUCUCGAAACUGAUAAAACCUUAUAUAAGCCUCAGUUAACGAGCUUGCACCAUCUUGUAUAUGUACAGGAAACCCAUCAUGUCUCCUAAUGUGGUUACUCAUGUAUGAUAUCGUGUAAAAUUGAUUAAAAAAGGGAGAGCAGUUGAAUUCAUUGGGUUUUAUGUUUCCAUCAUCUAUUUUGUAUUCAGAAGCGUUUCUGAAAAUUUCUUUGACUUCUCAGAUAUUACUGAUGCUCUCCAAGAAUUCACAUCUGUCUUUUUCAUCUGAACAUCUAAGGGUAUUUGUGAAGUGCAGUACAGGAAGGAAUUAGAAUCAUCCAGCAGUUCCUGAAGAGAUGGUGAACGUUUACUCUUUUAAGCCGGUUCCCGUCUGACCCCUGUAUCUGGUAGCUGUCAUCAGCCCUAGUUCUGAGCGCAGAAGUUCUGAUCACGGUGGUCACGAAGCCUUUAUUAAUCUCAGCUGAGGGGAGUUUCUGUUAGCCAAGGAGCCCUUGUAUCGGAGGCAAGCUCACUCCACUCGCUGGUGGAAAGGCGCUUUCCCCAUAUUGAUUGCACUUCAUUUGGAAGGGAACACUUAAAAAUUGGAUUAGGGCUCAGUUUUCAUUCAGCCUGUUCAGUAUUAAAUUUAAUACUGUGACUUGCCUAGAACUGAAAAUAGAAUUCAACAUUUCUUGCCAACUUGGAAUUACCUGUGUCACCUGGACUCCUGUUAUAUUUGUGCCCACUCAACACUCUAAGUAGCUGGCUCUGCAGCUUUUCCCAGAGGAUGCAGAGCUAGUGAUGGUGUUUAGCUAGGCCUCCCUGCAGUGCUGCCUGGAAUAUGUGAAAUCAGGACGGAAGCUCCUUCUGGCUGUAAUGUGUCUUCUACCUAGAGAUUUAAGUAUUCAUUGAAAAGCUUUUGCUUCAGUCGUUUCAUUCCAGAAGAAUCCUACUCCAUCUUCUUAGGGUAUCAAAAUGCAGUACAUAGACUUUUAAAAAAAUUGAUCGAAGAGGCUGGAAAAUCUCUGGUUGUGGGGAUCCAGCAAACAUCUUUCACAUUUUGUGCUAAAAUGGAAAAAGCUCUCAGUUCCCAGUCACCGAACCUGCUGUAGACAGUGCACAUGAAAACCAUGGUAAUCUUACCUCUGUAAACUAGGAAUUCAGCAUAUUGCUGGCCAAAAACAUUAAAUUUUAUGCUCCUGUG